AUGAACGCUAGCGACAGGCCUAACACAUGCAAGUCGAGGGGUAACAGGGAAGCUUGCUUCCGCUGACGACCGGCGCACGGGUGCGUAACGCGUAUGAAACCUGCCUUAUACUGGGGGAUAGCCCGAAGAAAUUCGGAUUAAUACCCCAUAAGAUUAUUGAUUGGCAUCAAUUAAUAAUUAAAACUCCGGUGGUAUAAGAUGGUCAUGCGUGACAUUAGCUAGUUGGUAAGGUAACGGCUUACCAAGGCGACGAUGUCUAGGGGUUCUGAGAGGAAGGUCCCCCACACUGGUACUGAGACACGGACCAGACUCCUACGGGAGGCAGCAGUGAGGAAUAUUGGUCAAUGGACGCAAGUCUGAACCAGCCAUGUCGCGUGCAGGAAGACCGCCCUAUGGGUUGUAAACUGCUUUUAUAUGGGAAGAAAUAUAGUUACGUGUAAUUAUUUGCCGGUACCAUAUGAAUAAGCAUCGGCU
rnacentral:rRNA from 1 species